rnacentral:rRNA from 1 species
CAGCAGCCGCGGUAAUACGGAGGGUGCAAGCGUUAAUCGGAAUUACUGGGCGUAAAGCGUGCGUAGGCGGUUCGUUAAGUCUGUUGUGAAAGCCCCGGGCUCAACCUGGGAAUGGCAAUGGAUACUGGCGAGCUAGAGUGUGUCAGAGGAUGGUGGAAUUUCCGGUGUAGCGGUGAAAUGCGUAGAGAUCGGAAGGAACAUCAGUGGCGGAGGCGGCCAUCUGGGACAACACUGACGCUGAAGCACGAAAGCGUGGGGAGCAAACAGGAUUAGAUACCCCCGUAGUCCCUGUCUCUUAUAC